AGUGGGGUGAGGCAUAGAAGACAAAAAGAGAGUAAAAUUAAACAUACAGUAUUAGCAGAAGAGUGAUAACAUUACCAAGAACACCGUGUUGUUCAGGCAGGUGGCUCUCCAUGAGUUCCAUGCCAACCUGGUCUACACAGAGAGUUCCAAGCUACAUAGUGAGACCUAGUCUCAAAAGCAGAAAAUAAAAACAUUUGUUAGCACUCUUAAAAUCUCGAGCAGAGUUGUAGAACCCAAUGGACUCUUACUCAGACUUCUGAUAGAAUUACAAGAGGGAUUUAAAAAUAGGAACUGGUUAGGCAUGGUGGUUUGAAAUCCUAGCAUUUAAGAGGCAGGAGAAUUGAGUUUGAGGCCAGCUUACGCUACAUGGAGAAGACCCCGUCUGUAACGAACGAACACACGCAAAACCGUAAAAUGGUUUCAACGUUUGCCAAUGAUACUCAGAAAUAGAAAACAGUGCCUAACAGUUGGGAAGAGUGUCUACUGUUCUUAGCUUUGCCUCAAGGAAAGAUGCGAUCUUGUCUAUUUUUACAUUUUCAACCACGCAUUCUCUGCACCCAGCAACGCCUUCUUUGUAACGGUGGAAAACCGAGGGAUGGCUGAAGUUUCCCUUCUUAGCACAUCAAUUUAACGGGGGGGGGGGGGGGAAGGGGGGAGUAAAGGCUGUGACUGUGCCUGUGUGACUUAAAAUGACGCUAUGGAUUCGUUUCUCCCUGAAAGCAACUGGAGGGGGUACUGACGUGACAACAGCAGCACCGCCGAAGAAGACACUUGAAUGACUGUUUCCAGGGGAGCCACGUUCCUCAUAGUACGAGCCGCUGUGUGCUCUGCAGCGGCACUGUCUGGGUAAGAGACGGUGUGAUGUCCACUUCCGGCCCCCGCUGACAAGCUCGCCUGUCACUCCAGAGGAGGUGAGUAGUCCAGGCUAGGCUAGGCGCCGUGGCCUCGGCCGUGGCGGAGGCGGGCGACGCGGGCGGUGCUGGAGUCUCGGGCGUCGAGCGGCGCGUGGGAGGCUCAAGACCGCACCCCGCUCCCGCGCCCGCGCCCGCGCCCGCGCGCGCACCGGGCAGCACCACCCGCCGCGGGUCCGCUCGGGGAGGGCGGGCCGGGGAGGCGCCGGGUCACGUGGCGCGGUCACGUGUCCAUCCUUCCCCCCCCCCCCCCCCCUCAGCCCGACUGGCGGUCGCGGGGGCGGCCGAGGGAGGUGGAGUCUCGGCCGAGACGCGGGGGGGAGGUGGUGGCGGCGGCGGCGGCGCCGAGGGCUGCCGGAGGCGGAGGCGGAGAGGCACGAGGCCGCUGCCACGGCCGCUAGGGAGAGUUGUAAGAGUCCAUCCAGGACCUUCCAGUCAUGAAUAAUCUGAUGGCUCCUGAAUUAACCGGGAAAACAAACAUAUCAAGUGCCAUUUGAAGACUGUGUCUAUCUAUGUAAAACCUUUUCUGCACAUAGAAGCUUUCCCAUAAGAAGACAUUCUGAAUUUUGCAACUGAUGAAGAUUAAGCAUCAGCUGGAGCACCUUUCCACUGUUGGGGUCGGGAGUCUGUGGAGAACAGUCUGUCACUAAUGUCAGAUUUUCCUUACAGUGUUCAUAAACAAAAGCAAGUUUGCAGAAGAAAAAAUUGCACAGAUUAACCCUAAAGAAUACCUCCAGUGUAAAGCAGAGGCAGACCUUAAAACUCUGAACCGAAGCUCAGUGACUUUUCCUGUGGUUGUAGCAGGAGUGAGGGGACUGAUCUGAAAGGAACAGGUUCCUUUGUGUCUUCAGCUAUCGGAAGUUUUUUAUUUAUUGUUUAUCUUUUUUCUUUUCUGCAUAUAUAUGCCAUUUUAAAAUACUAAUUGGAACUGUCAGUUACAAAAUAAAUAUCAAGAAAAGCCUUUUUUGGUCCA
rnacentral:lncRNA from 1 species